rnacentral:rRNA from 1 species
AUUGAACGCUGGCGGCAGGCCUAACACAUGCAAGUCGAGCGAGCGGCGGACGGGUGAGUAAUGUAUGGGGACUGCCCGAUAGAGGGGGAUAACUACUGGAAACGGUAGCUAAUACCGCAUACUAUCGGAUUGCUCAGUUGGGAUUAGCUAGUAGGUGGGGUAAUGGCUCACCUAGGCGACGAUCCCGAGCUGGUCUGAGAGGAUGACCAGCCACACUGGAACUGAGACACGGCCCAGACUCCUACGGAGGCAGCAGUGGGGAAUAUUGCACAAUGGGCGCAAGCCUGAUGCAGCCAUGCCGCGUGUGUGAAGAAGGCCCUCGGGUUGUAAAGCACUUUCAGUCGGGAGGCGUUACCGACAGAAGAAGCACCGGCUAACUCCGUGCCAGCAGCCGCGGUAAUAC